rnacentral:rRNA from 1 species
UUCCGGUUGAUCCCGCCGGAGGUCACUGCUAUUGGGAUUCGAUUAAGCCAUGCGAGUCGAGAGGGUUCGGCCCUCGGCUGACUGCUCAGUAACACGUGGAUAAUCUGCCCUAAGGUGGAGGAUAACCUCGGGAAACUGAGAAUAAUACUCCAUAGGUCUAAGAUACUGGAAUGUUCUUAGGCUGAAAACUCCGGUGCCUUAGGAUGAGUCUGCGGACUAUCAGGUUGUAGUCAGAGUAAAGACCUGACUAGCCUAUGACGGAUAUGGGUUGUGGGAGCAAUAACCCAGAGAUGAUAUCUGAGACACGAUAUCAGGCCCUACGGGGCGCAGCAGGCGCGAAAACUUCACAAUGCGCGAAAGCGCGAUGAGGGAAUCCCAAGUGCUUGCACGUAAGUGGAAGCUGUUUCUUUGUUUAAAAAGCAUAGAGAGUAAGGGCUGGGUAAGACGGGUGCCAGCCGCCGCGGUAAUACCUGCAGCUCAAGUGGUGGCCGCUAUUAUUGGGCCUAAAACGUCCGUAGCCGGUUUAGUAAAUGCCUGGGUAAAUCGUGCCGCUCAACGGUACGACUUCCGGGUAGACUGCUAAACUUGGGACCGGGAGAGGCUAGAGGUACUCCUGGGGUAGAGGUGAAAUUCUGUAAUCCUAGGGGGACCACCAGUGGCGAAGGCGUCUAGCUAGAACGGGUCUGACGGUGAGGGACGAAGCCCUGGGGCGCAAACCGGAUUAGAUACCCGGGUAGUCCAGGGUGUAAACGCUGCUUGCUUGAUGUUAGUCGGGCUCCGAGCCCGAUUAGUGUCGGAGAGAAGUUGUUAAGCAAGCUGCCUGGGAAGUACGGGUCGCAAGACUGAAACUUAAAGGAAUUGGCCGGGGGAGCACAGCAACAGGUGAUGCGUGCGGUUUAAUUGGAUUCAACGCUGG